rnacentral:lncRNA from 1 species
CUACUGCCACUGAAACCCACAGAACUAUAUAUGAGUUUUUCUUCUUUAAUUACGUGCAAUUCAAUAUAUCAAACAUAUCAUUAACGAUUUCUUUAUAGUACUAAUGUAGGGUUUCAUGUUGCAGAAGCAGAAGCAGAAGCUGCGGGUAGGAACAUGAAUGUGCAAUCGACUCAUUCAAAUUGUUCAAACAGUUCCCGUCACUUCUAUUCCCAGCAAACAAACCGUCAACAAUUUUACCGUCAGGGAUUCAUUAGUAACAACACGUUCCACGAUGAAAAUCGCGGGAGUUGUUGCGAUUUGGAGAUUGCCCCAAGAGCCUCCACCGGGCCAGCGACAUGGUUCGUCAAACUUCUAUGUCAUCAUUCUUCUGUUAAGUACGAUUUUUAGUAACAUUAUAUUUUAGCGUUCUCUAAGAAAUUACUAGGUAUGAUUUUCUCGAUGCUUUGAUUUGAAGGCAAGAGCUCCAACAGAAAUCAGACAAAAAGAACACUUUUCUGCCAUUAGCAUACUCCAAUGUAACAACACGAGGAUAUGAACAUGGAUUCACUGUUUCAAAAUCUAUCAUGUUCAAGGACUUUCUGGGCAGCUCCAAUUCUCAAGUAAUAAUUAAACACUUCUCUUUAACUCAUUCUCAGACUCAACCAUGCAUCCAAUUUAGCAAGAAUCAAGAAUGUCUCAAUGAGGAAAUUCAGUGGCUCUAAUUAUGCUUUAUAUUUUCAGGGUGGUGAGUCGAAGAAACAAAUGUUGGCAGCAGUGGAGGAUGGUAACAGUUUCAAGUGGCUUCCAAAUUCCUUGGCAGAAGAAUCUGUGGGUACUUUGCCUUUGAAAUUAGCUUUAGAAUCAUCCGUCUCCAAGGACGGUGCCAAAGAUGUUUCUCUUGAGCUAACUCUUG